rnacentral:lncRNA from 1 species
GAAUAAGGUUAAUGCAAAUAACCCAAUAAAAAUGGGUAAUUAGGCAUUUCACUAAAAAGAAUAUCCAAAUAUCCAAUAAACAUGAAGAUAUGCUCAAGCUCAUUAAUAACCAGGGAAAUGCACACAAACCCCGGUGAAAUACCACUGCAUGCUUACUAGACCGGCAACAGUUUUUUUUUUUUUUUUGAGGCAGAUUAGCCCUGAGCUAACAUCCACCACCAAUCCUCCUCUUUUUGCUGAGGAAGAUUGGCCCUGAGCUAACAUUCAUGCCUAUCUUCUUCUAUUUUAUAUGUGGGACAUCUGCCACAGCAUGGCUUGAUAAGUGGUGCGUAGGUCUGCACCCGGGAUCCCAGCCGGUGAACCCCAGGCCACUGAAGCAGACCACAGGAACUUAACCGCUACGUCACGGGGCCGGCCCCCUGGCAACCAUUUUAAAGUGGGACAAUACCGAGGAUGGAUGAAGAUGUGGGCCGAAGGGACUAUUAAUGGAUACUGCCACUUUGGAAAACAAUUUGACAUUAUCCACUAAAGCUGACAUGAUCAAACAUAGAAACUCUACUCUUGGGUGUACCUCAGAGACCCUCAAGCACGUGAACACCAGGGUACAGGCAUAAAAAUGUGAUGUCUCGAAACAGAAAACAAUCCAAAUACCCAGCAAAGGUAGACCGGGUGAUGGAUGACAGCACGCCCACACAAUGGUGCAUUAUGUCACUGUGAAAAUGAACAAGUACAGCCACACAAACCAACGUGAGGAACUGUGCACACUCAGCCUGGAGCGAAAGAAGACAAAGGAGUACAGGCUGCGUGCCCUUUAUAAAGUCAAAAGCAGGUGAAAACAAAAUACAAACAAGGAUUUUUUAGACGCCAACGCCAGCCUGCCCAGGCAUCCCGGCUUGGGUCUGAGCUGCAUUCAUGUUGCUAAGCCUACAACACUCCCUGUGAAACUGCUGCUCUGGACGUCCAGCCACAGAGGAGGCCAGGGGCCGACCCGGGAGCGCAUCCUUCCGCAGCGUGGCCUUCAGGUUGAGCCGGUUAUUUUUCCUCCACUUAAGUCACUCUGGUUCUUUUCCUGGGAAGGAGACAGUGAGGAAACAGGAAGGAGACUGAGAAGGAGCAAAAGCAGAGAAGGAGGAGACAAUUCACUUUUUUCCCAUGAAUAUUGGACCUUUUAUAGAGACGCUGUUGGCUGCAUCAGUUAAACCGUAUUUCUGGAACAGGCUGGAGGAGCUCGUUGACAUGUAUCUCGUGCGUCCAGUCCAGAAGCCUUGACCCCCGACUUUGCCUUCCAUUCCCAGGAGGCCCCCCGCCCCGUAACACGAACAGCUGGCAGGGGGCCCUUUCCUCAGCCGGUGGCCGUGUGUGCGGGGCUCAAACUUUAUCACCAUGCCAUUAAUUUCCACACACAUCUGCUUGACGAUUUCUUCCUGCCUCCUUGGCACAUUUGUCUCCAGCUAAUUCGUGUUUUAUGGCCCUUGUCUUAAUGCAAGGAGCAUUAUCAGGCCACUGUCAACAUUUGGGCGCCCUGCGAGGUGGCCAGCAGCCCGGCCUGCUCCCCGCGGUGUGAGGCUCCACUCAUAGCUUUAACCUCCAGUCAGCUGUACCUCAGGAUCCCAAAGGGCCGAGCUGACAUGGCUCUCUCAGUUCCAAACAGCAUCUCACCAGGAGCGCUGACCUUACCGCGUGGAGUGCACACAACACUGCCUUACUUGGAAGGCAGGUAAGGCUGCAGACUUGCUCUCUGUCUUUCUGGUACCCCGGGUCACUGAACAACCAAAUCUACCCUGGAGGAUGGCUGUUCCCAUUUCCCAGAGGAUCUGGCAGGGGUCCCAAAAGGCAGUUUCCUGUCCGUGUGGCCUGUGGAAGCCCUGAGAAACCUCUGCUGAAAUUCUCCGAGCCGGGCUGCUCCGAACCUUCCUGCCAGGGCUGCUCCAACGUGGGAAGCGCACAGGCCGUUUAAAGAGGAGAAAACUGCACAGUCGGGAAUACAGCUCAAAGGAUAUUCUUUCAACAGCACUGCAGAAAAAACUAAAGUUUCUUUCCAUGCAAAUGUCCUUUAAUUGCAAAUUAGCCCUGUAAAAAGUUCUGUGUGCAUAACUGGUAUAAUUUAGGAUGUGCCUGCAGCCCCGGCACAGUUGGGGAAUAGAUCUCAGCCUUAUUUUUAGAAUUGUUCUGCAAGGAGUUAUAAACAGAUUCACCCGCAUACCUUCUCAUUCCACCUCGCACACUCGCCUCUUCUCGGUUGUGGCAAUAUCUUACCUAAGCCCUGUUGCCCGGCGUUUGUUUGGUCCCCACAACCAUCCCCUGAGCCUGGCGGAACUCUUCCCGGUCUUUCAGGCGAGGUGAGAGAGGUCAAGGGCUCGCGCAGGGUCAGAGGAGCAAUAACUUCGAGGUUGGGCCAUAUGCAUGGCCGUGUUGGCAGAUCAAAGAGGCCAAUACAGCAAUAGCAUAUGGUUCAACCCAGUGGAAGCUGGAAGCUGGCCCAGAAUUUAGGAUUUCUGACUCCAAAUUGAAUGUUUUUCCAUCACGCCAAAAUACUUCUGAAAUAAAGUUUGAUUUGUUAAAUAAAUCGUGGGGCAGCUCUGUAAUAAAUUACCACGUACCCACUAAAGUCAGGC